rfam:Myotis davidii contig149384, whole genome shotgun sequence.
CUUGGGGAAGGGGGUUCCCUCGGCCCGGAUUGCAAGAGGGUUCAGACCAGGCCGAGGGACCCCACCAGUGCAUG